AUUGAACGCUGGCGGCAGGCCUAACACAUGCAAGUCGAGCGAGCGGCUGACGGGUGAGUAAUGCCUGGGAAUUGCCCAGUCGAGGGGCAUAACAGUUGGAAACGACUGCUAAUUCCGCAUACGAUUGGAUUGCCCAGGUUGGAUUCGCUAGUUGGUUAGGUAAUGGCUCACCAAGGCGACGAUCCCUCGCUGGUCUGAGAGGAUGAUCAGCCAAACGGGAACUGAGACACGGUCAAGACUGCUACGGGAGGCAGGAGUGGGGAAUAUUGCACAAGGGGGGAAACCCGGAUGCAGCAAGGGCGCGGGUGUGAAGAAGGCCUUAGGGUUGUAAAGCACUUUAAGCGAGGAGGCGUUAGGCGGAGAAGAAGCACAGGCUAACUCCUUGCCAGCAGGCGCGGUAAUAG
rnacentral:rRNA from 1 species